rnacentral:lncRNA from 1 species
GCUAUUAUAAAAAAAAAAGACAGCCAGCUCACCUAAUAGGCCUUUUAUUUGCUAAUCAAACCUCUCAUUAACAAUUAAUUGGAUCAAAAGUUCAUAGGCCAUUAUUGCUGUGUCAAUUAGAUGCGUAGGCCUCGGAGUCUGAAACGGAAUGACCUGCUCGGGUGAUAAAUAAUUUCCAACAGCGACUCGCCUUACUGCAGGCCGCCUGUGUGGAGGUCACCAUCCCGGCCUCAGCGGCCAGCACAGGCUGUCCUGAUGACAAGAAAAGAUGCAGUCUCUCUUAUCGCACAUGCUAAUUUAAGCUCCGUAAUCUAAAACGUGUGAAACACCAUCUCAGGGCAAACAGGAGAUGCUGUCGUUGUGUCUUUACGAGAGCCCUACAAAUGGUUGCGUGCUCUUCAAGAGAAGAAAAAGAAACAGGAGAACACAAAGAACUUGUCAAGCUUGAAGGGCUAUGCAGGCUUGCAAUCACGAGAUAUCGUGGGCUCCUGACCGUGGGCUGCCACGUGUAAACCCCGAUAAGGUGGGAUCUCCUGACAAUGUCACCAACAUAGAGACAGAUGCAUCUGCUUUACACCAUCCUUAGUUCAAGUUUAACUCAUUCAUUUGAUUUCCGCCCUUCAGUAAGGAAAAAACUUUACUGAGCAUUGGAGUCUGAAAUGUUUGUUACAUUAUCUCAGAGAUUGUUAUUCCACACCAAACUCAUCAGAUGCCCUCAUGAGUCGUGUUGCAGUCAUGUUGUUCCCUGGACAAAAAUAAGAUAGCAUCUACAAAAUUACAGGUUAAUUGAAGCAGGAGAAAGCUUUUGCUAUUAAAAUUUCUAAAGGAUAAAUGUGAAAUACAGUUGAGAGUUCAUUUUCAGCACUGGGAUUAACUUACAGCUCUUUCCUCUUUUUCUUUCUUUUUCUUUUCUUUUUUUUUUUUUUUUGAGGGCACAGCAGCCUCCAAGAGGUGGGAAGCACAUUCUUUUAACUUUAUAUUCUCCAGGUUGUCCCUGUCUAUGAGAAGAUAGUCCAUGAAAAUGUGUUGGAAUUAAUGAAAUCUGAAUUGAAUUCAAUGCAGGUAGUAAGUCAAGCCAGGCUGGCAAAAUUCCUUAUGAAACUGUGGGGUCAGUCAUCUUGAUUCAAAAUCCAUUUUGUGUUUGAUUGUGAGAUGCUACAGUGGGCUGUGCUAAAGGACAAUCAUGUUCUUAAUCGACUCCCCAGCCUAUGAGCUGGAAUGUGGAUGCUUUCAGUACUGUGAGGUCACCUGCUCCCCCCGACAGGAUCAUACAGGUUCUCUCUUCCUGAUUCUACUCAAACAGAUGGGGGCAUACUGGGCCUGAGCAGAAGAAGAAGUUAUCUAAGGGCCCACGCGUGCGGCAUGAUGAGAUAUCCCUGAUUAAGAAAUGUAGCCUGGCUGUAAUGCCUCCUGGAAGACUAAGUCAAUCGAAACGUUGGUUUUAGUUUACAGUUGUUGCAGAUGCAAAGACCGCAUGUACUCUGGCUCCUGUAGAAACUCCAGGAACAUUAAGUAAGACCAAAGUCUCACACCUUAAAUGCAGCAACGCUUGCAGUUUCAGACUCUCAGUGAAGUGUCUGCGUCCUGAGCAGUGACCCAGCACCUACACACCCCUCUGCAGCGAUGUCCACCCACAGUUGAGGGGUUCAUGUAGCACAGCUGUGCUACAAGCUUCUUCUGCAAGCUUCAGAGCAAACCUAAGUGUUUAGGGGCCUACAGGACCAAGACUCAUUCCACAGAAACUGAGAAGGUGUGGGUGCAAGGUACUGAGUCAUUUACAAAAGGUUUAUUUUGCAUGCAAGAUGAGAACCAGAAUGCGAAAACAGAAUUGGAAACUGUCACACAAGAGAAAGAAGACAAUUUGUGUCUAGGUGAUGUAUUUCUUGCUCCUAAUGGCCAUUGCCAUAGUGAGGGCGGUGGAUUCCUGACAGGGAGAAAAAAGGAAAAGAUUGCAGAGCUGUGGGAUAGCUGCACCUACCCAGAAUGGAGCAGAAGAGGGGUGGGGUGAGCACGAAGCUUGGUGCGCACAAGAAUGUGGUCCACUCUCCAAACAUGUGCAGGCAGCUCCCCAAGCGCAAUGCAGGCCCCACCACCGUGCGUUUCCUUGUACGAUAGACACCAAACGUCAACCACGCCUACUUAUGAGUAUGAAGUGUUUUCGCCUGGGCACGGUGGCUCACGCCUGUAAUCCCAGCACUUUGGGAGGCCGAGGCGGGUGGAUCACGAGCUCAGGAGAUCGAGACCAUGGUGAAACCCCGUCUCUACUAAAAAUACAAAAAAUUAGCCGGGCGUGGUGGCGGGCGCCUGUAGUCCCAGCUACUCGGGAGGCUGAGGCAGGAGAAUGGCGUGAACCUGGAAGGCGGAGCUUGAAGUGAGCUGAGAUCGCGCCACUGCACUCCAGCCUGGGCGACAGAGCGAGACUCCGUCUCAAAAAUAAAUAAAUAAAUAAAUAAAAAAUAAAGUAAAAUAAAAUGUUUUCAUGUUUCUUAG